GGCAGCGUGGCCUAAUUGAUAGGGCACUUGACGGGCAAUCAAGAGGUGCGUGGUUCAAAUCCCGCCGCUGUCU